UGGUGAGAUAUAUCAACCUAAAAACAAUUAUGUAUUCAAUAUAAUCUAUACCACUUUUGUCAUAAAAAAUAAAAUUAUUUGUUGAUAGGUCUAAAUGCCAUAAGAAACAAGGCUAAAAUUCUAACACCGACUAUAUAUUUUAGUGAUUCUAAAUGCUACCAAAACUUAUUUGUUGGCAUCCAAUUCAAUUUUUGUGCCGCUCUUACAUGCUGACCAAAAGCCUGAAGUAGUAGCUAAAAAUGCUGGUUAAAAUAUGUUGAAUUUGAUUAGAUGAACAUUAUAAUAGCAUUUUGGCCAGUAUUUAUAAGUGUCAUUAGAUGCGGCCAUGGCACUCUUGUAUGCUAAGAAAGCUCAACAAAAAUGUGACAUCGAACCAUAUUUUUAUGGGUAUUUUAUGAAAAUGCCAGAAUACAAUUCUCAACAAAAAUUUAACAGGUAUUUCUACAAUAUUUGGUAAAAAUAGUGGUUUUGGAAUAUCUGACAUAUUUGCACUUUAUGCUAUUUUUUAAAA
rnacentral:lncRNA from 1 species